rnacentral:rRNA from 1 species
GACGAACGCUGGCGGCGUGCUUAACACAUGCAAGUCGAACGGAAAGGCCCUGCUUUUGUGGGGUGCUCGAGUGGCGAACGGGUGAGUAACACGUGAGUAACCUGCCCUUGACUUUGGGAUAACUUCAGGAAACUGGGGCUAAUACCGGAUAGGAGCUCCUGCUGCAUGGUGGGGGUUGGAAAGUUUCGGCGGUUGGGGAUGGACUCGCGGCUUAUCAGCCUGUUGGUGGGGUAGUGGCUUACCAAGGCUUUGACGGGUAGCCGGCCUGAGAGGGUGACCGGCCACAUUGGGACUGAGAUACGGCCCAGACUCCUACGGGAGGCAGCAGUGGGGAAUAUUGCACAAUGGGCGGAAGCCUGAUGCAGCAACGCCGCGUGCGGGAUGGCGGCCUUCGGGUUGUAAACCGCUUUCGCCUGUGACGAAGCGUGAGUGACGGUAAUGGGUAAAGAAGCACCGGCUAACUACGUG